rnacentral:lncRNA from 1 species
AGAAGUGCAACAUUUGAUCAACAAGGGGCAACUGACUUUCAAUGGCCCUAAUAUGGCGAAUAAUCCAUUACCCUAGUGAGAGCGAAGACUUCAUAAGGCAUUUCCUAGAGCUAUCAAGCCAAGCAUAAAAGAUCAUCCUCAACACUGGCAAUCAUUUGGAUGUUUCAGUUUUUCAUUUAUAUCUUCUUUGCUUGUUAAACGUUGUUUUCUUUUAAGCAUUGU